AUGUCAUUGCUACCGUCAUCGAUGUUGCUGAUUUUCAAUGAGUGUCGUUGAGAAUCGUGAAAUAAGAAGUAAUAUUAUCGAUCGAUGGAUGAAUGGAUGAAAUGUAUUNNNNUCAUAUGGUAAUGACAAGAAAUAUUGCUAGACAUAUUGCCAAUAGCACAUAGUUUUCAUGUAUUGCAUUUAAUUCUCAAAUAAAACAACCUGAACUCAGACGUGAUUACCCGCCGAACUUAAGCAUAUCAUUUAGCGGAGGAAAAGAAACUAA
rnacentral:misc_RNA from 1 species